UCGCUGUGCCUUUAUUGUGCGCGUUUUUUGUUCACUGUUCUUCCCCAUCCCCCGACACCGCGUUUCCCCUCUUCCGCGAUUCUCUUCCGUUCGGCGACGACGGCGGCUCCGACGACCCCUGUGAUAAGCGACGACAUCUCCUCAGUGUUCCAUACCGGCGGAGUGGUUCUGCUCCGGCGCGGUGGAUUCCCCUCAUCUCCCGAUCUUGUUGAAGAGCGGCGGCUUCAGAUUUAGGGUUUUCACCGGAGUGGUUCUGCUCCGGUGAUUCUUUCCCUCUCCGUCCCUACCUCUGACGAAGCUCCCUGCCGACGUUGCGAACGCAUGGAGAUCUCAACAGAGGAGGACGCCGGCUUCACUCUUCUUCUCCGUUUGUUUCAGGAUGUUGAUGUUGGAAUUCUGAGCUGGGAAAAUGUUUCUUGAUGGCACUCGAGUGAUACCAGACACUUGGAGGGGUCUUGUACGCAUAGGAAGAGGUGCGGAAGGGCUAGUUCACUUCCAGUGGCUUGAUCGGACCCAAAAUACUGUUGAAGAUGUACCCUGUGAAAACAAACAUCAUAUGUUGUUUCCAUGCCCAGCUAAUGGAUUAUGCAAAUCCAUCUCCAGUUUUCUUUGUCUGAUCAACAAUGUCCUUAAUUUAUUUAACAUUUAUGAAGGAAAUCAUUCCCACUGUCUGCUGUGCAGCUAUUCAAACAUCCUUAAUGUUGAUAACUUCUCUAAUAAAAAAUGUUUUUUUUUCAAUCCACUUGCCUUCUUGCUGCUUAUCUGUAAUGUUAUAGAAAUUUACUUGUUUAUCUUGUGUUAGGUUUUGUUGUGUGGAUAUUAUUUCACAUUUCCUUGACCAGAUAAUAUGAUCAUAUUACCUUUCGAGAUGAAGCAAUUUUUGAUAAGGUACAUGUUUUGUGUGACUAUUUACUUUUAUUUGAUUAUGCUCGUUAAACUUUUAUGAUCUUCAUAGUUAAUUGUUAAUUGCACAUUCAAGUGUCUCAAUCAUCAGACAGGGUGUAUAUUCUGAGGUUUAAUUCUGAUAGUAGGAAGUUUUUCUUUUGGAUGCAGGUCAGCUAAUUUAUGUUAUAAGUUAAGGCAACUUGUAUGUGCAUCUUUAUAAUUUCUACUAUUCAAUGCACUCCAUUUUCUUCCCCCCUCUAAUCUGCAACAUAUCUCAUUCAUUCCCAAUUAGUAUAAGGGUACAUAUGUAAUUUAAUCCUUAUUUUAUUCAAAAUUAACCAACCUUAUGGUAUGUCAGAAUCAUGGUGGCAUACACGAUGUUCAUUCUGAUUUGCAUUAUCCAAAGAGUUUACUUCACCAGAUCUGAUGGCAGAAGAUGAGACUGAAGCUUCAGCACCAUUGCAAAUGUCUGAAACUCUGAUUGUGAGAAGCACUGCAAUCGUUCAACACCUAAUCAUGUUAGAAACUUGCCUGCAUCGAGAUCUUCAACAAUAUUUGGAAACACAAACACAAGAUGAGUCACACCUAAUAAUUGAUAGGAACUAAGACAACUGGCCUAAAUAAAACAAUUUAACAAGAAAAUCACUAUUCAACAAUACCUGGUGUUUGAUGUUUUUUAUAAUCCUUUGCAAAUCCUCCAACUCCACAUGAAGAAAUAACUUCUCCGCCUAGCUUGCUGACCAUAUUAUAUGAUCAACAAGGUUUCCAACUCUAUGUACCAGAAGAAAAUGAAGUCAAUUGUUUCUUUCCCUAAAUAAAUGACAAUUGAGACUUGAAACAGAUAAUACAAUGCUAAAAUAGAAUGCAAUAACAGCUCAAAAACUUUGCCAAAUGCUGAAAUGGAUAGUGUUAGAAAAUUAAAUUGGUCAUUUCUCAUACUAAGAAGAAGCUUUUUGAAACCAACAAAGUGAAUCGAUUAUUUAUGAACAAAGGAAAACUCCAUUUCUUUGGAGAUUCCUAUACAGUCUCAACCUCUUCUCAAUUAAAAAAAGUUUCCUAUGCACUUCCGCACGACACUGCUCAGCUAGAAAACCUAGCGAUGACCAAAUAGAAAAAAAGCCUUGAAGGCAACACUAGCGACAAAGAGAGAGUAAGAAGAAGAGCUUAUCUGUUUUCUUAUUUUGUAACUCUUCAAUCUUAAUAUCAGUUUCAUUUUUUAACUGUAUGAUUAACUCUUUCUCCUUCUUUAGUUGAUUAAUUUCUGCAAGUGAAUUCGUAUUUUUCUCAUUCGCAGUAUUUAGGCCAUGACUCACAGUAUCCAGAUCAUGUUUCGCAGUAUCCAGCUAAUGACGCAGCUGUCGGAUCUGCCGCAGCUGGUUGACCAAGUCUUUGUGAAGACUCCUCAACUUAGUCUUGCUUCUUUUUCAACAUCACUUCCUGCACUGUGAAGAAGAAUUCAGGACAAAGGUGAGGAGUCUUCACGAAGACUUAGUCAACCAACGACGGCAGAUGUGACAACUGUGCCGUGACCUGGAUAUUGCGAGACGUGACCUGGUUACUACGAGUCGUGACUUGAAUACUGCAAAUGAAAAAAAUAUAAAAUCACUCGUAGGAAUUAAUCAACUGAAGAAGGAGAAAGAGUUAAUCAUAUAGUUAAAAAAUGAAGCUGAUAUUAAGAUUGAAGAGUUACAAAAUAAGAAAGCAAAUAAGUUCUUCUUCUUACUCUUCUUUGUCACUGGUGUCGCCUUCAAGGUUUUUUUUUCUAUGUGGUCACCGCUAGGUUUUCUGGCUGAGCGGUGUCGUGUGGAAGUGACCAGGAAACUUUUUUUAAUUGAGAGGAAGUUGAAACUGUGUAGGAACGUCCAGAGAAAUGGAGUUUUCCUUUGUUCAUAAAAAAUCGUUUCACUUUGUGGAUUGAAAAAGUUUUUUAGUAUGAGAAAUGACCAAUUUAUUUUUCUAAUAGUAUCCAUUUCAACAUUUGACAAAGUUUUUGAACUGCUAUUGCGUUCUAUUUUUAGCAAUGUAUUAUUUGUUUUAAGUCUCAAUUGCCAUUUAUUUAAUGAAAGAAGCAAUUGAGUUCAUUUUCUUCUAAUGCAUAGAGCUGGAAACCUUGUUGAUCAUAAUAUGACCAGCGAGCUAAGCGGAGAAGUUACUUCUUCUAGUGGACCUAUGUGGUUGGAGGAUUCUAAGAAGCAUCUAAACAUCAGGUAUUGUUGAAUAGUGAUUUUCUUGUUAAGCUAUUUUAUUUGAGCUAGUUGUUGAUGUUAUUCAACAUAGUAUGUGUGUAGAUGAUAUUGUUGAAUAGUGAUUUUCUAAGAAGAAUUCAAUUGUUUCUUGGUGGUGUUGAAGAUCUCGAUGCAGGUAAGUUUCCGACAUUAUUAGGUGUUGUAUGAUUAAAUUGUAGUGCUUCUCACAAUCAGAGUUUCAAAAUUGGGCUUAGCCGACAUUUUAAAGCCUGAUUUGAUUUUGCCUGUUGUUGGAAGCUUGCUAGUUGAGCAACAUUUUUCACAUUGCCUGAGGGCUCAUGGACUCCGGCUGAUCUCAUGGAGCUGUUGCAAAGUCUACAAGUUCACCUGCAAGGAGACACAUUCACUCGUGUAAGUGACGGUUUCAGUUGGAAAAAGAGAUAAAAGACUGUCUCCUAAUUUGUAAGCAGGUGAUUUGAACAAGGUGGAUAGAUCUUUUGCAGUUUGGAAUCAACCUGAGCAAAUUUUUUUGAAAUAGUUGAAAGCAUCAUCUCGAGGAGGAGGAGGAAGUAAUGGAGAAAGGAUGUUCAUGUUGCAUCGCCAUAGGUCUAAAAGAUUUGGGGAGAAAGUCGAGUUUAAGCUCUCCAAUCUGCUGGUUACCAAGGUCCUCAAGCUCGUCCUUGGGUCAUACUAAUCAAUGGGAAGAUACUGCUGUACAACCUUCUGGAAGUGGAGUGAGGAUGCCUUUAUUAAGGCCUUCUGAUUCUUCUAAGAUCAUCUUGGUUAUAUUGUAUUGCUUGUUAUAAUUCUUCUAUUGUUAGUGAUUGAUGUUCUUUUGUAAAAUAUAUGUAGUUGAUUUAGAGGGAUUUGUGAGCUUUGUAAAAUAAUGUAAAAUAAUUAUUAGAUGAAUAAAAAUUAUAUAUUCGGAUUUA